UACGUAGGGUGCAAGCGUUUAUCCGGAAUUAUUGGGCGUAAAGAGCUCGUAGGCGGUUUGUCGCGUCUGCUGUGAAAACUGGAGGCUCAACCUCCAGCCUGCAGUGGGUACGGGCAGACUAGAGUGCGGUAGGGGAGAUUGGAAUUCCUGGUGUAGCGGUGAAAUGCGCAGAUAUCAGGAGGAACACCGGUGGCGAAGGCGGGUCUCUGGGCCGAUAUUGACGCUGAGGAGCGAAAGCGUGGGGAGCAAACAGG
rnacentral:rRNA from 1 species